rnacentral:rRNA from 1 species
UACGUAGGGGGCAAGCGUUGUCCGGAUUUAUUGGGCGUAAAGAGCGUGUAGGCGGUUAUGCAGGUCCGCUGUGAAAACUGGAGGCUUAACCUCCAGACGUCGGUGGAAACCGUAUGACUAGAGUCCGGGAGAGGAGAGUGGAAUUCCUGGUGUAGCGGUGAAAUGCGCAGAUAUCAGGAAGAACACCCGUGGCGAAAGCGGCUCUCUGGAACGGUACUGACGCUGAGACGCGAAAGCGUGGGGGAGCGAACAGG